UACAGAGGUGGCAAGCGUUGUUCGGAAUUACUGGGCGUAAAGGGCGCGUAGGCGGUCUUGUAAGUCUUGUGUGAAAUCCCUCGGCUUAACUGAGGAACUGCACGGGAUACUGCGAGACUUGAGUUCGGGAGAGGGAAGCGGAAUUCCGGGUGUAGCGGUGAAAUGCGUAGAUAUCCGGAGGAACACCGGUGGCGAAGGCGGCUUCCUGGACCGAUUACUGACGCUGAGGCGCGAAAGCUAGGGGAGCGAACGGG
rnacentral:rRNA from 1 species